GCCGGGCAUGGUGGCGUGUGCCUGUGGUCCCAGCUACUCGGGAGGCUGAGGUGGGAGGAUUGCUUGAGCCCAGGAGGUGGUGGAGGUUGCAGUGAGCUGAGAUCAUGCCACUGCACCGCAGCCUGGGUGAGAGAGCAAGAUCCUGUCUCAA
ensembl:misc_RNA Metazoa_SRP Metazoan signal recognition particle RNA